UACAGUGGAUGUGAGUGUGUAGACCUUGUACAAUAGAGCUUAUAGGCUAAUGAGAAGACAGGAAGAAACAACAGGAACACAUAUAGCUGGAAUGCAGAUGGGAUCUGUGCUACUUACGCUAGCCAUGGGAUGAUUAGAACAAGAUAAGAGACAUGAGGAAGACUUCUUCAAGGAGGUGCUCAAGCCACGUUUUGGAAAAGAUAACUCAAGGUCUGGCAGGGAGAAAGGAGCAAGAGCAGACUUUGAGUCUUUGCUUCAGAUGCAGAUCAAGAUGUGGCAACCUGUUGUGGAGAACUGGGUCCCUUGAGCCUGUGCUGUCUCUUUUUUUCUGGUGGCUUUGUCAUUUGGAGCAAUGCAUAAUGGGCUGGAGGCUGAGAAACUCUGAGCUGAGGUGACACAAGGAUGACAGGAACAGUUAACAGGGAAGCACACUGAUCGACUGAGCUGCCUGCUCCUGGCCUUCUGGAUCCUCCUCAGUUCCUGCUCAUCUCUAGGCGAGGCUCUCAACUCUGUCAAUUCUGGCAAGUAGAGCUGCGGCUGUCUGGCGCCACUGUAAUGCUGUCUCCUCCUCUGAGUUCAUCCUGGAAACAUUUUCUCCCAUAAGACAUGCACAGGUCUUACGUUUACAUGUUUCACUGAAAGAAAUUUGAUUCCACUGAUGGGAUGACAAGGAAGACUGAAGAAACCUAAUCCUAGGUGCUGCCAUUGGGACAAACAAGAAGCACCAGACACAGUGCUGUUUUAGGGUGGGGCAGAAUUAUGCUGAGGGAAAAGUUAUUAUCACUCUUUAAGGCCAAGGAAACCACAAUUUUUAAAGAAGCUUCUAGAAAUUCUACCCAAUAGAAAAUAAAGAUAAACUUCUGUAAGGAAUUUCAUUCUUUUCAGAAUUCGCAAUCUGAAAUGUAGAAGCCCAUUCCUUCAUGGUUCUCGUAGAUAUUUAGUGUGACUGAGGGGUCAGUGGACUCAUAGCACUCAGGCCAGGCUUCUCCUGAGUCCCUUUCUUUGGCACAGAGGGAGUGAUUCACAGAUCCUCUACCCUCAAAGGCAUUGUUUCCUCAUCUCAACAAGAAUCCAGCACCCGUCAUUUUAUCAGCACACGUCACUAGCUUCUCAAGUGAGACUACUCUGAAGUGAUCUGUGUUUGAAGAAUGCCUUUCCCUUUCCCUUCCGUAACUAAGAGGAUGAAAAAGGACACUCACUCCCUAUAUGAAAGCUGUGUAUUGUAAGCAGUCAUCUUGCCUGGCUGAGAACUCUAGGAUCUUUUUCUCUGCUCUCCUUUAGGCUGACACUCAUAGCCAGCCCUUCUGUUUAUUAGUCCCCUGAAUCUAUUUGAAAAUAUUUUUGCUUUCAUUAUAAUAUAAGUCACAUUCUUCUUGCAUCUGCCGCUGCAUUUUCCACAAGGGUUAUGUCAAGGGAAAUUCGACACUCACUUUUCUCAUUAUUUGCUUACCAGCUUGCUCACUCAUCAAAAUACCAGAGUUAUUUGAUACUUCAGAAGAUUAUUUCCCCCCUUAGAUGAUGUGUCAAGGGAAGGGGAGCUGGCCCCAGUGUCAGGUGACAGAAUUUUCUUCGCAUUUCUACUGUUGACUCAAUAAAUGCCCUUGGGCAAGUCAUGGAGCCUCUUCAUGCUUUGGUCUCUAGGGAUAAAAUCUGCCAACCGCAGCGUGUGUAUUUGAACCUCAGUGCCCUCUGGAAUAAAAAUAGGAGGGGACCAGGUGUCCAUGUGACCCCAAGCUGAUGGGAAGAGGAUGACCAUAGGACUUCAAAAUGUCCUUGAGCUGUAAAUUCUGUAAUAGGGUCAGGCCCACCAGUGGCCUUCAGGCAUUUGUCCAGUGGUGUAUGGAUAAGUUCUAGCACUUGAGUUUUUUCAGCAGAAAGGAGGCACUAUGUCAACCUCCCACCCAUGGGUAUUCUGUUUGCUCUGUGUCCCCGCUUCUCUGCAUUUCCCUGCCAUAUUACUCACCACUGGUCGUAAUUACUUGCUUGAUCACUUGUCUCCUGGUCUGUAAGCUGUUUGAGGGAGGGGAGCACAUCUGCCCUAUGCAACACUGUACCCUCAGUGUGGUACACAGGAGCACAUGCCUGACAGAUAGAAGUUAUGUGAGAAACAUUUGCCAAGUGGACAAAUGAAUAAUGCUGCCUGGACUCUAUAGAAAUCCCUUUUCUGCAUCAUUAAGGUUCCCAAGCCUGGCCAAGAAGUAGUGGGAUCUGAUUAGCCUCAUCUCCUCAUAACCCUACUUCCUAUCAUAUUAUAAUGAAAGCAGAUCUCAGCCCAAAUGCUGGCACAUGUACAUAUUUAUCAGUAAGAAGAUCCAAAAUCGUUCAUGAAGCUGGUUCUGUAAGCUUGGCAAAUUUCCAGCCCUCUGACCUUUUCAGUGCUUUGUCCACACUCUACAUGAAAGGGCCUCUUAAGAGUGACAGGGCAGUAUUCUAAAGACCAGAUUUUAAUUGCACCAGGUAACUGAAUUGUCUGAAUUCACAGCUGAACACAGGACAAGGUCAGAAUCAUAUUUCUUAUGCCAUUUAGAAAGGUGACAAGUGAAGGGCUGGCCAAAAUCUUACACCCAGCUUACGUAAGAGUAGAGACUGUCCCUAAUGCUUUCCCCAGUCCACUUGUCUCGAACACCAUUAGGUUCAAUAGUAAAAGCCCAUUUCUCACUUCCUUCAUGUUAAUUAACUGAUCACUAAUUUUACCAAUGAGAAGCCAUUUUUAUUAUUUAUCAUUAUGAUUUUUAUCAUUUUGUUAAUUAGCCAAGCUUCUGCUGUUGACUCCAGAUAAAGAGAGUUAAAGCACUUGGGGUGACCACCUAAGUAGAUUUUUUCAUGGUGAACAAAUGGAAGCAACAGAAGCAGCUCAGACUUUUGAAAAGUGAUGAAAAAGGCCCAUGAUGCCCUGCUCCUUGAAAAUGAAGAAGAGGACUUAGCCCUGCAGGGUUCUUUUCUUUGCAUGUUCUUACCAACCCUCAGGGGAGAUUCAGUCUACUAGCUGGCUUCCCCACGUGGACCUCACUCUGUGGCAAGUAACUGGGAGUAAUUUACCUUCUGAGUUCUCUUACAACCCCCUUAGCUAUGUAGGUGAUUCCAGGCCCAAGGGGGAAGAUAUCAGAUGAGCCAGAACUUUUUGAUUCUACUGACCGAGUUUCCUCACCUCCUUCCCUUUGUUUCUGAUAAAUACAUACAUUAAGGUCAGCUGAAGAGUUGUCUGUGAUAAUUGCCCUGAAUCCUCACUCACUCCUCUGAAUUUCUGUCUUCUGUAGCCUCUUAGCCAUGUUGCAGGUGAAGGUCUCAAGUCAUUUGCACCACUAGGAAUCGUUUGUGUUAUUGUGACUGAUAUGUGUCCUCAGAGUUGUAUCAGUGUUUUCCCCUACACACACAUGCACAUACAUGCACCACACAAUAUGCACAUUCUAUAAGACGGAGCCUCUAUUUUUGG